UGGAAGACUGGUGAUAUGUUGU
rnacentral:miRNA from 2 species